rnacentral:rRNA from 1 species
CCCUUAGAUAUCCUAGGCUGCACGCGAGCUACAAUGGUAUAUAUAAAAGGUUGCUGCUCUGAGAAGACUGGCAAUACCCUGAUAUAUAUCGUAUUUGGAAUAGAUUUUUGUAAUUAUCAAUCUUGAACGAGGAAUUCCUAGUAAAAAUAUUUCAUCAUAAUGUUUUGAUUGUGUCCCUGCCCUUUGUGCACACCGCCCGUCGCUCCUACCGAUUGAAUAUUCCGGUGAGAAGAUAGGAGAAAAAUCUUUUGAUUUUUUGAAUAUUUUUGAACCUUGAUAUUUAGAGGAAGGAGAAGUCGUAACA